UGGGAAGAUGCUGUGCCUCGAGGAUUAGUUUAAACAGGGGGCUAUAAAAGAUGUAACAGAUGCAAACUGUAACACAAGGGCCAUUAACCCUUUCUCUGCCGGGCACACUCAGUCCCCACGCCCCACACCUAUUGUCUCCUGUGCUAGAAGCUUUGCAGAAAACCUGGAAAGGGAAAUCCUGAAAUAAAGAAAUGGUCACACAAGUGUCUGGGAUGAAACAGCUGGCCUGUCUAUAUUCAUCCUGAGACACACGACUGCAUAUAAAUACAUGUUUAAUAAAUUUUGGCCAGAAAUGGUGAGAAGAAAAAGCAUGAAGAAGCCGCGAAGUGUGGGGGAGAAAAAGGUGGAAGCGAAGAAACAGCUCCCGGAGCAAACUGUACAAAAACCUCGCCAAGAGUGUCGGGAGGCAGGACCGUUAUUCCUGCAGAGCAGGAGAGAGACGAGAGACCCUGAAACACGCGCCACCUAUCUUUGUGGGGAGGGAUAAUUGAAGCGCCCUGAGCGUACCAGAGCCAGAAAAAAAUUGCUGCAUGGGAGCUGCAUCUUAGGGCAUGUGUAUUAGGGUGUGUGC
rnacentral:antisense_RNA from 1 species